CCUACGGGGUGCAGCAGUGGGGAAUAUUGGACAAUGGGCGAAAGCCUGAUCCAGCCAUGCCGCGUGUGUGAAGAAGGCCUUCGGGUUGUAAAGCACUUUCAGUGGGGAAGAAAGCCUUGGGGCUAAUACCCUCGAGGAAGGACAUCACCCACAGAAGAAGCACCGGCUAACUCCGUGCCAGCAGCCGCGGUAAUACGGAGGGUGCGAGCGUUAAUCGGAAUUACUGGGCGUAAAGCGCGCGUAGGCGGUCUGAUAAGCCGGUUGUGAAAGCCCCGGGCUCAACCUGGGAACGGCAUCCGGAACUGUCAGGAUAGAGUGCAGGAGAGGAAGGUAGAAUUCCCGGUGUAGCGGUGAAAUGCGUAGAGAUCGGGAGGAAUACCAGUGGCGAAGGCGGCCUUCUGGACUGACACUGACGCUGAGGUGCGAAAGCGUGGGUAGCAAACAGGAUUAGAUACCCCGGUAGUC
rnacentral:rRNA from 1 species